rnacentral:lncRNA from 1 species
AUGGACCCCGGUGACUUUCGGCGCAUCCGCUGCAUUUGCCGGGCCCCGGAAUCGCACUCAAAAGUUGGGAAGGUGCAGCCCGCACUUUGCAAGCCUCGGGGGGCUGCGGGGGCGCUGGGCGCCCACCCACCCUCCCAGCCGGCCCGGCCCGGCGCCGCCAAGUUCUCCCCGGCGGGGCGGCGGAGAGCGGCCCCGCUCCGCCCGAGCCCACUCCCCCACCCCAGCCGUGCCCGGGGACGGGGGUCGUGGCGGUGGGGUGAGGGGGGCGCGCAGCACUCACGUCCCGGAAUUUGUUCCACUGUCCGACUUCCGAGAGAUGGUGGUGAGCCAUUGUUUAUCAUCCAGAAAAUUACCGCCGUCCGAACGCCCCCCGGCCGCAGCCUGACUGCACCAAGCCGCUGCACACACGCACAGCACGGCGGACACCUUGAGCAUCUGGGAGAGGAGACACAACCGGGGGCGGGGGCCGGGGUCAGCGGAGGGGUGCGGGCGCCGCGGGGGAGGAGACGAGCGGGGUCUGGGGGUGAGCGGGGGGCAUGGGGGGCUCCCUCCCCGCAGACCGCACGCCCACGCGCGAGCACGCAGGGGUCGGGGGGCAGCAGCCCCGCGCCGGCAGGCGGCCGCCUCCCCGCACCUCACCUUGCGGCGAGCCGGGACUGCGCUCGCAGCCUCCCGCUGGAAAUGCAGGCGGGCGCUGCUGCCGGAGCCGCCUCACGCGCCGCCGUCUCCUGCCGGCCACUCCGCGCCCUGCGCCCCGCGCGCUCCGCAGCCGCCUCCCCCCGCGCGCCGCGCUCGCGCGCGCCGACUCCCCGCGCUUCCCCCGCGCCCUCCCCCGCCUCCCCGCCCGCCCGCAGCAGCCCCGGCCUCCGGGCGGGCGGCGCCGGGCGCGCGCGGGUGCGGGAGCUCCCGCUCCGGAGUCCUCGGCGGCGCCCCGAGCGCGCCCCGUCGCCCCGUGGUUGCCCCUACCGUGCAGGUGCGAGCGAGGAAAGGCAGGGAGUGGGAAAGCGGAGGCGAACUUGGCAUCGCCGAGCCAGGAUCCCCGCGACUCGCUCUCCUGUCAGCCUGGGCCGACUCUGCCCCUGA